GACGAACGCUGGCGGCGUGCUUAACACAUGCAAGUCGAACGGAAAGGCCCUGCUUUUGUGGGGUGCUCGAGUGGCGAACGGGUGAGUAACACGUGAGUAACCUGCCCUUGACUUUGGGAUAACUUCGGGAAACUGGGGCUAAUACCGGAUAGGAGCUCCUGCUGCAUGGUGGGGGUUGGAAAGUUUCGGCGGUUGGGGAUGGACUCGCGGCUUAUCAGCUUGUUGGUGGGGUAGUGGCUUACCAAGGCUUUGACGGGUAGCCGGCCUGAGAGGGUGACCGGCCACAUUGGGACUGAGAUACGGCCCAGACUCCUACGGGAGGCAGCAGUGGGGAAUAUUGCACAAUGGGCGGAAGCCUGAUGCAGCAACGCCGCGUGCGAGAUGACGGCCUUCGGGUUGUAAACCGCUUUCGCCUGUGACGAAGCGUGAGUGACGGUAAUGGGUAAAGAAGCACCGGCUAACUACGUG
rnacentral:rRNA from 1 species